UACGUAGGGACCAAGCGUUGUUCGGAUUUACUGGGCGUAAAGGGCGCGUAGGCGGCUUAACAAGUCACUUGUGAAAUCUCCGGGCUUAACUCGGAACGGCCAAGUGAAACUGUCAAGCUAGAGUGCAGAAGGGGCAAUCGGAAUUCUUGGUGUAGCGGUGAAAUGCGUAGAUAUCAAGAGGAACACCUGAGGUGAAGACGGGUUGCUGGGCUGACACUGACGCUGAGACGCGAAAGCCAGGGGAGCAAACGGG
rnacentral:rRNA from 1 species